CCCCACUAGAUCACAAGCUGCAAUAUGAGGCAUGCGAUGAAACCUCCUACGAGGAUUCUUCUAGCAUCUCGGCUAUCCCUACGAGCGCAGGAGUCUGUGGAGGAAAGGUGGCCUCAAUCUACGAGGAAUCUUCUAGCACCGAUGCACUCUUUGAUGGCUCUCUACACUCAAACAGAAGCAACCGAAGGCAAUCCAUUGCUACUCAGGAACUU
rnacentral:lncRNA from 1 species